rnacentral:misc_RNA from 1 species
GCAGAGUACAUAUGCCAUGGAUCCCAAUUGCUCAACUGAAAACUUAUCUGUCUCUUUGCAAUCACCUCAACCCUUUGAGAUAAGAUCUGCUGAUGUGUCUCAGAGAGCGGCCACACUUGAUGUUUCAGGGACUGAUGUUCUGGAGAAUGUUUCUGACUCAAUUAGCAUAACUGAGUUGUCACAAAAGGAGGAUGAUAAAGGCAAAGAUACUGUAGAAACUGAUAAUGCUUCCGAAAGUGAAUACCCUGACAAUGCAUGCAUUGCUCCUCGGAGAAGGAGUGGGCGCAACAGCAAGUUAAGCCAGAGUUUGGCUACAGUACCAGCAAGAAAGGGCAGGAGAAUAGCCAUUAAAA